CGAGUGUUUGCUGCUUUCUGCUCUUGCAGGAGACAAUCUCCUCAUCUCUAUUCCCUGCAGGAGGUUUCCUCUCUCCCUGCCCUCGGCACAGCGGGGAGAGGUGGUUGCUGCAGGCUGGAGGGUCCCCAGCACUUACCUGAUUAGAGCAGCCCAUCUCCAGCACCGGGCAAGCCCAGAGCCGGGCUGGGGCUGAUCGCUCUGAGCACGGGCCAGAAGGACCAGAACUCUACCAGCAAGAAGAAAUAAAUAUAUAUUUCUCUCUAUAUAAGCUCCUUUAAUUAUAUAGCUGUAAGGCAGAUUAAAAUUAUAUUCUGAUGUCACCUGGUAUCAAAGGAAAUCUCUCCGACUUUCCAUGCACAUCGUACCGUGCUGCGCAGGGAAGGUAAUUAAAUCCUCAGUAAUAAUCGUACAGGUUAUUCUGACCUGAACAUCCAUUGCUCUUUCACACCUGUCCUGACAUGUAAAGAAGACAAGACAGUACUCAGAAGUGCAAGGAAUAGAAAAACUCAGCUUCCUGCCCCAGAAAACAGUGGGAAGCUGUGGAGCUGAGCUGCUGCUGGGGAGAAGAGCCGGCACCACCCCCUGGGACCUGGGGUGUCUCCCGUGGGAUCCCAGCCUGGGCAGGGGACGGUGAUGGGAACUGGAGCCAGAGCCUGGGCUGAGUCCUGACCAACACCUCCAGCAUCUCCUUCUCCUCCUGACAGCAGGAAUUUGUCUUCACCUCAGCAAUCAGGAAAGAAGAUCCAGGCAAUGGGAAUGGCCUCAGAGAGCUAACUGCACCUCCCGAAAGCUCAGGAGCUCUCAAAGGACCUUUUUCCUGGGACGAAGGAGAAUGUUCAUCCUCGGGUGUCUCAGAGGGGACGCGCCGCUGCCCGAGAGGCCCCUCUGCCAGGUGUGUGCACCCCCAAACCCCACCUGCACCCCGCAGCGCCGCUUAAAUCAGCACGUGCUGGCAAGAAGAGCGGCUUGAAAUAUUUCCAGCAAAUUGUGCUGUGUGUAUUACAGAGGCAGAUAGGUGUUGGGAGAAGCUGGGUUGUGUCUUGGUACCAGAUGCUCAGGUUUGUGAGCAUCGGCUGCGCUCGCUGGGGCUCCCACCGAGCCCACCCAACGGGAUGGCUACUGAGGGGCCAAAGCAGGUGGCCAGGACAGUGAGCAGGUUAUCGACAGGGCCGUGGCAAUGAGGUUAUUCGGGAACGCACGGCGAGUCUGGGAAACAGGCCUGGGU